CUGCAUUAGUGCACAGUUAUGUAUAAUGUAAAUUGUGGCCUUUUGCAGCUUCUGGGAUGACCAAUUUUCAGACAAUGCUGAAAGAAAUAAGAAAAUUGACUGGAGGAAAGAUUGAUGCUAAAGUCACACAAAAAGUGCUCGGAAGCAUGGGCAUAGAGCUUACAGAUAAAGACGUCAGUGACCUGCUGAAAAGGUUGCCUGUUGCUGAAGAUGGGAAAAUACUUAAAAGCGUAUUACUUGAUCAUGUAAAGUGGCAUUCUGGGUCGAAGUGUCAUGUCUCCAAACUGGGCAACAUUCUAGAAGACUUGGGCUUCGAUCUGGAGGAUGAAGAAAUUGAAGACCUGACAAACCGUCUGCCAGUUGAAGGUGAGGGUACUGUUGUGUCUUCAGAGAGCCUCUCCGCUCCCCAGACAAACUUCCAGAAAUGC
rnacentral:lncRNA from 1 species